rnacentral:rRNA from 1 species
AAUCCAUAGGUUAAUGAGGCGAACCGGGGGAACUGAAACAUCUAAGUACCCCGAGGAAAAGAAAUCAACCGAGAUUCCCCCAGUAGCGGCGAGCGAACGGGGAGGAGCCCAGAGCCUGAAUCAGCAUGUGUGUUAGUGGAAGCGUCUGGAAAGGCGCGCGAUACAGGGUGACAGCCCCGUACACAAAAGCGCAUGUGCUGUGAGCUCGAUGAGUAGGGCGGGACACGUGGUAUCCUGUCUGAAUAUGGGGGGACCAUCCUCCAAGGCUAAAUACUCCUGACUGACCGAUAGUGAACCAGUACCGUGAGGGAAAGGCGAAAAGAACCCCGGCGAGGGGAGUGAAAAAGAACCUGAAACCGUGUACGUACAAGCAGUGGGAGCACAGGUUUACCUGUGUGACUGCGUACCUUUUGUAUAAUGGGUCAGCGACUUAUAUUCUGUAGCAAGGUUAACCGUAUAGGGGAGCCGCAGGGAAACCGAGUCUUAACCGGGCGUUAAGUUGCAGGGUAUAGACCCGAAACCCGGUGAUCUAGCCAUGGGCAGGUUGAAGGUUGGGUAACACUAACUGGAGGACCGAACCGACUAAUGUUGAAAAAUUAGCGGAUGACCUGUGGCUGGGGGUGAAAGGCCAAUCAAACCGGGAGAUAGCUGGUUCUCCCCGAAAGCUAUUUAGGUAGCGCCUCGUGAAUUCAUCUCCGGGGGUAGAGCACUGUUUCGGCUAGGGGGCCAUCCCGGCUUACCAACCCGAUGCAAACUGCGAAUACCGGAGAAUGUUAUCACGGGAGACACACGGCGGGUGCUAACGUCCGUCGUGAAGAGGGAAACAACCCAGACCGCCAGCUAAGGUCCCAAAGUCAUGGUUAAGUGGGAAACGAUGUGGGAAGGCCCAGACAGCCAGGAUGUUGGCUUAGAAGCAGCCAUCAUUUAAAGAAAGCGUAAUAGCUCACUGGUCGAGUCGGCCUGCGCGGAAGAUGUAACGGGGCUAAACCAUG